rnacentral:rRNA from 1 species
AUGGCUCAGAUUGAACGCUGGCGGCAGGCUUAACACAUGCAAGUCGAACGGUAGCGGGAGGAAAGCUU